CCGUGCAGCCGGGGAGUUAGCGGUGCCCUGUACCUACAAUCCGCUACAGUAGGGGUGAUGUCUUGCAUAGGAUUUUGCGCUCAUGCAGCUGCCCUGUAAAAGUGGCGUUGACGUCUGGGUCUUACGCAAUGGGAAUCUAUGAAUCGUGUCAGGUCUGGAAGGAAGCAGCACUAAGUAGAAUCUCCUAUGUGCCGUAAGGGUGCCUGGGCCGAGCAAACUAUACAGGUAACGUGUCUGGGCAAUGGUUCGAAGCAAGACGCACGG
rnacentral:SRP_RNA from 1 species